rnacentral:rRNA from 1 species
AUACGAAAGGUGCAAGCGUUGUUCGGAUUUACUGGGCGUAAAGAGAGUGUAGGUUGUUUAUUAAGUCGGAUGUGAAAUCCCGGGGCUCAACCUCGGAACUGCAUUCGAUACUGGUAGACUAGAGUUCGGGAGGGGUAAGCGGAAUUCCGUGUGUAGCAGUGAAAUGCGUAGAUAUACGGAGGAACACCUGAGGCGAAGGCGGCUUACUGGACCGAUACUGACACUGAGACUCGAAAGCGUGGGUAGCAAACAGGAUUAGAUACCCGGGUAGUCC